UGCAGUCGAACGAUGAUCUCCAGCUUGCUGGGGGGAUUAGUGGCGAACGGGUGAGUAACACGUGAGUAACCUGCCCUUGACUCUGGGAUAAGCCUGGGAAACUGGGUCUAAUACCGGAUAUGACCAUUCCGCGCAUGCGGUGGUGGUGGAAAGCUUUUGCGGUUUUGGAUGGACUCGCGGCCUAUCAGCUUGUUGGUGGGGUAAUGGCCUACCAAGGCGACGACGGGUAGCCGGCCUGAGAGGGUGACCGGCCACACUGGGACUGAGACACGGCCCAGACUCCUACGGGAGGCAGCAGUGGGGAAUAUUGCACAAUGGGCGCAAGCCUGAUGCAGCGACGCCGCGUGAGGGAUGACGGCCUUCGGGUUGUAAACCUCUUUCAGUAGGGAAGAAGCGAAAGUGACGGUACCUGCAGAAGAAGCGCCGGCUAACUACGUGCCAGCAGCCGCGGUAAUACGUAGGGCGCAAGCGUUAUCCGGAAUUAUUGGGCGUAAAGAGCUCGUAGGCGGUUUGUCGCGUCUGCUGUGAAAGACCGGGGCUCAACUCCGGUUCUGCAGUGGGUACGGGCAGACUAGAGUGAUGUAGGGGAGACUGGAAUUCCUGGUGUAGCGGUGAAAUGCGCAGAUAUCAGGAGGAACACCGAUGGCGAAGGCAGGUCUCUGGGCAUUAACUGACGCUGAGGAGCGAAAGCAUGGGGAGCGAACAGGAUUAGAUACCCUGGUAGUCCAUGCCGUAAACGUUGGGCACUAGGUGUGGGGGACAUUCCACGUUUUCCGCGCCGUAGCUAACGCAUUAAGUGCCCCGCCUGGGGAGUACGGCCGCAAGGCUAAAACUCAAAGGAAUUGACGGGGGCCCGCACAAGCGGCGGAGCAUGCGGAUUAAUUCGAUGCAACGCGAAGAACCUUACCAAGGCUUGACAUGAACCGGUAACGCCUGGAAACAGGUGCCCCGCUUGCGGUCGGUUUACAGGUGGUGCAUGGUUGUCGUCAGCUCGUGUCGUGAGAUGUUGGGUUAAGUCCCGCAACGAGCGCAACCCUCGUUCUAUGUUGCCAGCGGUUCG
rnacentral:rRNA from 1 species